rnacentral:rRNA from 1 species
UACGUAGGUGGCAAGCGUUGUCCGGAUUUACUGGGCGUAAAGAGCGCGCAGGCGGUCGGCCAAGUCGAGUGUGAAAGCCCCCGGCUCAACUGGGGAGGGUCAUUCGAUACUGGUCGACUCGAAGGCAGGAGAGGGAAGCGGAAUUCCCGGUGUAGUGGUGAAAUGCGUAGAUAUCGGGAGGAACACCAGUGGCGAAGGCGGCUUCCUGGCCUGUUCUUGACACUGAGGCGCGAAAGCUAGGGGAGCAAACGGG